rnacentral:rRNA from 1 species
UACGUAGGGUGCAAGCGUUGUCCGGAAUUAUUGGGUGUAAAGAGCUCGUAGGCGGUCUGUCGCGUCUGCUGUGAAAACUCGGGGCUUAACCCCGGGCCUGCAGUGGGUACGGGCAGACUAGAGUGCGGUAGGGGAGACUGGAAUUCCUGGUGUAGCGGUGAAAUGCGCAGAUAUCAGGAGGAACACCGGUGGCGAAGGCGACUUCCUGGCCUGUUCUUGACGCUGAGGCGCGAAAGCUAGGGGAGCAAACGGG